rnacentral:tRNA from 1 species
GGAGAGAUGCUGUGGCUCAAUGGUCAAUCCUCUGUUUGGCAUGCAGAAGGAAACAGGUUCGAUUCCUGGCAUCUCCA